rnacentral:rRNA from 1 species
GACGAACGCUGGCGGUGUGCUUAACACAUGCAAGUCGAACGGAAGGGCCCUGCUUUUUUGGGGUUCUCGAGUGGCGAACGGGUGAGUAACACGUGAGUAACCUGCCCUUGUCUUUCGUAUAACUUCAGGAAACUGGGGCUAAUACCGUAUAGCAUCUCCUGCUGCAUUGUGGGGGUUGGAAGGUUGCGGCGGUUGGGGAUGGACUCGCGGGUUAUGAGCUUGUUGGUUGGCUAGUUGCUUACCCAGGCUUUGAAGGGUAGCCGGCAUGAGAGGGUGACCGGCGUCAAGGGGACUGAGAGACGGAGCAGACUCGUAAGGGAGGCAGCAGGGGGGAAUAUUGCACAGUGGGCGGAAGCCUGAUGCAGAAACGUCGCGUGCGGGAAGACGGCCUGCGGGUUGUAAACAGCUUUAGCCUGUGACGAAGCGUGAGUGACGGUAAUGGGUAAAGAAGCACCGGCUAACUACGUG